rnacentral:rRNA from 1 species
GUUUGAUCAUGGCUCAGAAUCAACGCUGGCGGCGUGCCUAACACAUGCAAGUCGAACGCGAAAGGGGCUUCGGUCCUGAGUAGAGUGGCGAACGGGUGAGUAACACGUGGGUGAUCUACCUCUGAGUGGGGGAUAACGUUCCGAAAGGAGCGCUAAUACCGCAUGACGUUCUGGGUUUGAAGACCUGGAAACCAAAGUCGGGGACCGCAAGGCCUGGCGCUUGGAGAGGAGCCCGCGCCUGAUUAGCUAGUUGGUGAGGUAAUGGCUCACCAAGGCGACGAUCAGUAGCCGGCCUGAGAGGGCGGACGGCCACACUGGGACUGAGACACGGCCCAGACUCCUACGGGAGGCAGCAGUGGGGAAUUGUUCGCAAUGGGCGCAAGCCUGACGACGCAACGCCGCGUGGAGGAUGAAGGUCUUCCGAUUGUAAACUCCUGUUGAUGGGGAAGAACAGGUAUC